rnacentral:rRNA from 1 species
CAUGAAAGUAGCUUGUCGUACUUUUGGUGGCGACCGGCGCACGGGUGCGUAACAGGUGUGCAAUCUGUACCAUAAUCGGGGAAUAGCCCAGCGAAAGUUGGAUUAAUGCUCAUGUGAGUUUUAGAGGCAUCUCUUAAUUUGAAACGUAAGGAUUAUGGGUGAGCACGCUUCUGAUUAGGUAGUUGGUGAGGUAACGGCUCACCAAGCCGACGAUCAGUAGGGGUUCUGAGAGGAAGGUCCCCCCACAUUGGAACUGAGACACGGACCAGACUCCUACGGGAGGCAGCAGUGAGGAAUAUUGGUCAAUGGGCGAGAGCCUGAACCAGCCAAGUCGCGUGAGGGAUGACGGUACUAAGUAUUGUAAACCUCUUUUGUCAGGGAACAAAGAGACCACGUGUGGUAAGAUGAGUGUACCUGAAGAAAAAGCAUCGGCUAACUCCGUG